rnacentral:rRNA from 1 species
CAGCCGCCGCGGUAAUACAGAGGGUGCAAGCGUUAAUCGGAUUUACUGGGCGUAAAGGGCGCGUAAGUGGUUAUUUAAGUGAGAUGUGAAAGCCCCGGGCUUAACCUGGGAACUGCAUCUUAUACUGGGUAACUGGAGUGCAGUAGAGGGUAGUGGAAUUUCCGGUGUAGCGGUGAAAUGCGUAGAUAUCGGAAGGAACACCAGUGGCGAAGGCGGCUACCUGGACUGAGACUGACACUGAGGCGCGAGAGCGUGGGGAGCAAACAGGAUUAGAUACCCCGGUAGUCCCUGUCUCUUAUAC